rnacentral:rRNA from 2 species
UGAGGAAUAUUGGACAAUGGGCGCAAGCCUGAUCCAGCCAUGCCGCGUGCAGGAUGACGGUCCUAUGGAUUGUAAACUGCUUUUGUACAGGAAGAAACACUGGUUCGUGAACCAGCUUGACGGUACUGUAAGAAUAAGGAUCGGCUAACUCCGUGCCAGCAGCCGCGGUAAUACGGAGGAUCCAAGCGUUAUCCGGAAUCAUUGGGUUUAAAGGGUCCGUAGGCGGUUUAGUAAGUCAGUGGUGAAAGCCCAUCGCUCAACGGUGGAACGGCCAUUGAUACUGCUAGACUUGAAUUAUUAGGAAGUAACUAGAAUAUGUAGUGUAGCGGUGAAAUGCUUAGAGAUUACAUGGAAUACCAAUUGCGAAGGCAGGUUACUACUAAUGGAUUGACGCUGAUGGACGAAAGCGUGGGUAGCGAACA